rnacentral:lncRNA from 1 species
GCAGAAGCCCAGGCCCGUCCCACCGAGAAGCACAGGAAGGAGAUACAGAGAUUAGAACCUACCCACGAAGAAAGCAAUUUGGAAUCAGCUAGCAAUUCUGCAACAAGAUGCGUAUCUGAGGACAGGAGAGAUUCUGAUGAGUCAGAUGUGGAUUUGGGCUCUGCAGUGAGGCAGCUCCAAGAGUUCAUUCCUGACAUACAGGAAAGGGCGGCCACCACAAUCAGACGCAUGUAUCGAGAUGACCUAGGGCGCUUCAAAGAGUUUAAGGCACAAGGUAAGCUUUCCAGUGUGCUGCUUUUGAGUGACUGGAAUUAAUGGAGAAGCAUCCUUUAAAAAGAUGUUAAAGCUGGGCAGUGGUGGAGCACACCUUUAAUCCCAGCAUUGCAGAGGCAGAGGCAGGUAGAUCUCUAUAAAUUUGAGGCUAGCCUGGUCUACCAAUUGAGUCCAGGACAGUCAAGGCAAUACAGAGAUACCCUGUCUUU